UACGUAGGGACCGAGCGUUGUCCGGAUUCAUUGGGCGUAAAGAGCUCGUAGGCGGCCACUCAAGUCGAAUGUGAAACCUCGAGGCUUAACCUCGAGCCUGCAUUUGAUACUGGGCGGCUAGAGUCUGGUAGGGGGAUCUGGAAUUCCUGGUGUAGCGGUGGAAUGCGCAGAUAUCAGGAGGAACACCGGUGGCGAAGGCGGGAUCCUGGGCCAGUACUGACGCUGAGGAGCGAAAGCGUGGGUAGCAAACAGG
rnacentral:rRNA from 1 species